GCCGGGAUAGCUCAGCUGGUUAGAGCGUCGGAAUCAUAAUCCGCAGGUCGAGGGUUCAAAUCCCCCUCCCGGUA
rnacentral:tRNA from 1 species